UGACCACUGCGGAUUACGUUCAAUGUCAUUGUAAAGAUGUUAUGCAAUGAAUAUUUUUUUAAUCUGUAUACUCUCCAAAUAAUGCAACUAGGUAUAAUAGGUUUUGUGUAGUUUCAUAAUCAUGGUAUUUAUGGAGAAUGAUAAUUUGAUUUGGAAAUCUUAUAUUUUUUUAAUUUAAUUUCUACAACAACUUGUAACUGUGUUUUGUAGAUCCAUCACCUUUAUAUCACCUGUAUAUACUACUCAUGAUACUUGAUGAAUAAAGUCAAGAGAGAAUAAAAGAAUCCAGUUUCUUACAA